GAAAAGGUCAGGAUAGCUCAGU
rnacentral:tRNA from 2 species